UGGGGAAUAUUGCACAAUGGGCGAAAGCCUGAUGCAGCGACGCCGCGUGAGGGAUGACGGCCUUCGGGUUGUAAACCUCUUUCAGCAGGGAAGAAGCGAAAGUGACGGUACCUGCAGAAGAAGCGCCGGCUAACUACGUGCCAGCAGCCGCGGUAAUACGUAGGGCGCAAGCGUUGUCCGGAAUUAUUGGGCGUAAAGAGCUCGUAGGCGGUUAGUCGCGUCUNUGUGAAAAGCAUCGAGGCUCAAGCCUCGGGCUUGCAGUGGGUACGGGCUGACUAGAGUGCGGUAGGGGUGACUGGAAUUCCUGGUGUAGCGGUGGAAUGCGCAGAUAUCAGGAGGAACACCGAUGGCGAAGGCAGGUCACUGGGCCGCAACUGACGCUGAGGAGCGAAAGCAUGGGGAGCGAACAGGAUUAGAUACCCCUGGUAGUCCAUGCCGUAAACGUUGGGCACUAGGUGUGGGGUCCAUUCCACGGAUUCCGUGCCGCAGCAAACGCAUUAAGUGCCCCGCCUGGGGAGUACGGCCGCAAGGCUAAAACUGCAAAUGAAUUGAC
rnacentral:rRNA from 1 species